GGUGAGCCCCGCCCCCGGCUCGGAGCGCCGCGCCGCCGAGCCGCCGCCGGGGAGGGAGAAGUGACCCCCGAGCGCACGGGCCCCGGUGCGGCGGCGGGAGGCCUCGCGGACGCUGUGGAGACGUUGGAAUAGGGACGGGCAAGUGUGGAGUGGGCGACCACGACGGGCCACCUGUCCCCGCGCCCGCCGUGUCUCCGCGCUCGGAGCGCCUCGGUUGCCCAGCAAGUGUCCCAACUUCAACGGACAAUCCAGACUUGUGCGGAGUCCAAGCAGUGGGUUCCCUUUGGCCUUUUCCUUCUUAAAACGAAAUGUUUCCCUCUUUGUAGGACUAACUUACACACCGUACACGCGCCCAUCGAGUCCCCGGCUCCCUUGGCUGUUUCUCACGAAGCCUCUUAGCGAAGGCUUCUCACUUAAUUUUGGUACCGGAGAAUCAACUCGGGCCCGAUUUAAGUCAGUAGGGCUGGGAAAUGCAAAACGACUCCAGCGGACGCGGCGCCGGAAUUUGCAGCUGAUAAUUAGGGCGUGAACGUCUUCGCCCUGCACUCUCUCCACACUUUCUUCUCGGGCGGCUCUUCCGCUCCUCACUUCCUGGGAAGGCAGCACCUCCCUAGCCUUCCCUGCAAACGUCGCCGGCGCGCGCGCGGGGACUUUAUUAAUUGGCCUCCUGGAGACACUCACCUUCCCAAGUUAAGUGCUUGUCCAAAGAGAAGCUUUGACGAGCUCCGGCAGCCACAUCAAUGACUUCCACGGACCCACAGCGCCCACCAGCGACCAGCUUCACUUCUCUGCAUCUACCCACCCGGAUCCAAUAUCCAGCAGAAUCUAAUCAAGUCAGAAAGUCUUUCAAAACGCCCUACAGCAGCGAGAACAUGGUAGAAAUAAGGCAGAGUACAAAUGUACAAUUCACAGUUUCAAAAAUAAACAAUAAAAUGUUGUAUGCCUA